GACGAACGCUGGCGGCGUGCCUAACACAUGCAAGUCGAGCGAAUGAAGUUCCUUCGGGAACGGAUUUAGCGGCGGACGGGUGAGUAACACGUGGGCAACCUGCCUCAUAGAGGGAAUAGCCUUCCGAAAGGGAGAUUAAUACCGCAUAAGAUUGUAGUACUGCAUGGUACAGCAAUUAAAGGAGCAAUCCGCUAUGAGAUGGGCCCGCGGCGCAUUAGCUAGUUGGUGAGGUAACGGCUCACCAAGGCGACGAUGCGUAGCCGACCUGAGAGGGUGAUCGGCCACAUUGGGACUGAGACACGG
rnacentral:rRNA from 1 species